rnacentral:miRNA from 1 species
CUCAUUCAAAGACAUAAAAUC